UACAGAGGUCCCAAGCGUUGUUCGGAUUCAUUGGGCGUAAAGGGUGCGUAGGCGGCGCGGUAAGUCGGGUGUGAAAUCUCGGGGCUUAACUCCGAAACUGCAUUCGAUACUGCCGUGCUUGAGGACUGGAGAGGAGACUGGAAUUCUCGGUGUAGCAGUGAAAUGCGUAGAUAUCGAGAGGAACACCAGUGGCGAAGGCGAGUCCCUGGACAACACCUGACACUGAGGCACGAAAGCCGGGGGAGCAAACAGG
rnacentral:rRNA from 1 species